rnacentral:rRNA from 1 species
UACGGGGGGGGCAAGCGUUGUUCGGAAUUACUGGGCGUAAAGCGCGCGCAGGCGGUCCUUUAAGUCUGAUGUGAAAGCCCACGGCUCAACCGUGGAGGGUCAUUGGAAACUGGGGGACUUGAGUACAGAAGAGAAGAGUGGAAUUCCACGUGUAGCGGUGAAAUGCGUAGAGAUGUGGAGGAACACCAGUGGCGAAGGCGACUCUUUGGUCUGUAACUGACGCUGAGGCGCGAAAGCGUGGGGAGCAAACAGG